UUCAGGAAGCACAGUGGGAAUCUGCACCAUGCCUUGGGCUCCUCUCCUCCUGACCUUCCUCACUUACUCUGCAGUGUCAGUGGUCCAGGCAGGGCUGACUCAGCCAUCCUCAGUGUCCGAAGGCUUGAGACAGACAGCCACACUCACCUGCACCGGGAACAGCAACAAUGUGGGCAAUGAGGGAGCAGCAUGGCUGCAGCAGCACCAGGGCCACGCUCCCAAACUCCUGUCCUACAGGAAUAACAACCGGCCCUCGGGGAUCUCAGAGAGAUUCUCUGCAUCCAGGUCAGGAAACACAGCUUCUCUGACCAUCACUGGGCUCCAGCCUGAGGACGAGGCUGACUAUUACUGCUCAGCAUGGGACAGCAGCCUCAGUGCUCACACAGUGCCUCAGAUCAGUGGGGAAAUGAGACAAAAACUCGAGAGCUCUCCAGGCCUCACUGAGCACAGGGGGACCUCACAGUUUUACUGA